GACGAACGCUGGCGGCGUGCUUAACACAUGCAAGUCGAACGGAAAGGCCCUGCUUUUGUGGGGUGCUCGAGUGGCGAACGGGUGAGUAACACGUGAGUAACCUGCCCUUUACUUUGGGAGAACUUCAGGAAACUGGGGCUAAUACCGGACAGGAACUCCUGCUGCAUGGUGGGGGUUGGUAAGUUUCGGCGGUUGGGCAUGGACUCGCGGCUUAUCAUCUUGUUGGUGGGGUAGUGUCUUACCAAGGCUUUGACGGGUAGCCGGACUGCGAGGGUGACCGGCCACAUUGGGACUGAGAUACGGCCCAGACUCAUACGGGAGGCAGCAGUGGGGAAUAGUGCACAAUGGGCGGCAGCAUGAUGCAGCAACGCCGCGUCCGGGAUGACGGCCGGUGGGUUGUAACCCGCUUUCGCCUGUGACGAAGAGUGAGUGACGGUAAUGGGUAAAGAAGCACCGGCUAACUACGUG
rnacentral:rRNA from 1 species